rnacentral:rRNA from 1 species
AUGGUUCAGUGGUCAGAGAUCUGCAAACCUCGCGACAAGGGCGGACUCGGGAUCAUGUCUUCUAAACGCAUGAACAUUGCCCUCCUGACACGGUGGCUUUGGCGGAUUGCCAACGGAGAUGGUGGCCUAUGGCUUCGCAUCAUUCAGCAGAAAUACCUCCGCGGCCAGCCUCUUGCCUUCUGCCAGCGGUCUGUGGGCUCCCAGUUCUGGCAAUCCAUUAUCUAG